AUACUUACCUAGCAGGGCAGAUACCAGGAUCCUGGAGGUGAUUUUCCCAGGGCAAGCCCUAUCCAUUUCACUACGAAUGUACUGACCCCUGUUAUUUCCCGAAAUAUGGGAAACUCCACUGCAUAAUUUAUGGCAGUCGGGGGCUGCAUUCAUGCUAUCCGCUG